CAAAAAGGUGGUUGAAAUUUAAGUGUGUUUGUGUAUAUAAAUACUAGACAAUCCUCCGUGCAGACAAGUAAAGAUAUAAAGCAUCGUCUUCCUAUUCCACCAUGAAGGAUCAAGAAAAACAGAACCAGCCUCCUCCAGGUUAUCCAAGUGAGAACCCACCAGCUGGGAACAAGUAUUCCACGGAAACAAAAAAGAAAGGGGACAGAGGCUUCAUUGAAGGAUGCCUUUUUGCCCUGUGUUGCUGUUGGCUCUGUGAAACUUGUUUCUGAGAGAGAUGGCUACGAAUGGCAAGACCAGUAUUGUAACUAUAAUGAUAUUCUAAGUUUUGUGUGAUUACGUAAUUAUAAUAGUAUAGUAAGACCGUCGUGAGGUUUAUAUUGUGUUUUUAAUGUACAAUAAUACAGACUUGCUUUUAUUUCCUCGA